UACGUAGGGGGCAAGCGUUGUCCGGAAUCAUUGGGCGUAAAGCGCGUGUAGGCGGCUGACUAAGUCCGCUCUGAAAGCCCGGGGCUCAACCCCGGGAGGCGGGUGGAUACUGGUCAGCUCGAGUCCGGAAGAGGCGAGUGGAAUUCCUGGUGUAGCGGUGAAAUGCGCAGAUAUCAGGAGGAACACCAAUGGCGAAGGCAGCUCGCUGGGACGGUACUGACGCUGAGACGCGAAAGCGUGGGGGAGCGAACAGG
rnacentral:rRNA from 1 species